GCGUCUGUAGUGUAAUUGGUAGCACGCUGUCCUUCCAAGUCAGUAGCGGGGUUCGAGUCCCAACAGACGCU
rnacentral:tRNA from 1 species